CUACUACCACUACUACAACUACUACUGCUACUACACUACUACUACCACUACUACAACUACUACUGCUACUACACUACUACUACCACCACUACUAUUAGUACUACUGCUACUACUACACUACUACUACCACUACUAUUACUACUACUACCGCUACUACACUACUACUACCACUACUAUUACUACUACUACCGCUACUACACUACUACUACCACUACUGCUACUACACUACUACUACCACUACUAUUACUACUACUGCUACUACACUACUACUACCACUACUAUUACUACUACUACUACUACACUACUACUACCACUACUACAACUACUACUACACUACUACUACCACUACUAUUACUACUACUACGGCUACUACACUACUACUACCACUACUAUUACUACUACUACCGCUACUACACUACUACUACCACUACUAUUACUACUACUACCGCUACUACACUACUACUACCACUACUAUUACUACUACUACUACUACACUACUACUACCACUACUACAACUACUACUACACUACUACUACCACUACUAUUACUACUACUACCGCUACUACACUACUACUACCACUACUAUUACUACUACUACCGCUACUACACUACUACUUCUAUUACCAAUACCACUACUACUACUACUACUACUACUACACUACUACUACCACUACUACAACUACUACUGCUACUACCACCACUACAACUACUACUGCUACUACCACCACUACAACUACUACUACCACCACUACUAUUAGUACUACUGCUACUACUACUACCACUACUAUUACUACUACUACUGCUACUACCACCACUACUAUUAGUACUACUGCUACUACUACUACCACUACUAUUACUACUACUACUGCUACUACCACCACUACUAUUAGUACUACUGCUACUACUACUGCUACUACACUACUACUUCUAUUACCAAUACCACUACAACUACUACUACACUACUACUACCACUACUACAACUACCACCACUACUAUUAGUACUACUGCUACUACUACUACCACUACUAUUACUACUACUACUGCUACUACACUACUACUUCUAUUACCAAUACCACCACUACUACUACUGCUACUACCACCACUACAACUACUACUGCUACUACAACCACUACUAUUAGUACUACUGCUACUACUACUACACUACUAUUAGUACUACUGCUACUACUAUUACUAUUACUAAUACCACUACUACUGCUAUUACACUACUACUGCUACUAAUACCACCACCACCACUACUACUACUGCUACUACACUACUACUACUACUACCACCACUACUAUUACUAUCACUACUGCUACUACACUACUACUACUACUACUACUACUACCACCACUACUAUUACUAUCACUACUGCUACUACACUACUACUGCUACUACUACCGCUACUACCAUUACUAUUACUACUACUACCACCACCACUACUCCUACUACUCCUACUACUACUACCACUACUAUUACUACUGCUACCGCUACUACCACUACUACUACUACCACCACUUCUACUCCUACUACUCCUACUACUACUACCACUACUACUGCUACUACUACCACUACUACUGCUACUACUACCACUACUAUUACUACUGCUACCGCUACUACCACUACUACUGCUACUACCACUACUAUUACUACUGCUACUACUACAACUAUUACUACUGCUACUACUACCACUACUACGACUACCACUACUAUUACUACUGCUACUACCACUACUAUUACUACUGCUGCUGCUACUACUACUACUACCACAGCUACUACUACUAUUACUAAUACCUCUACUACUACUACUGCACUACUACUACUUACUAUUACUACUUCUACCACUACUACGUCUAAUAUUAUAAACUACUACUAUUACUACUACUACCACCACUAUUACUACUAUUACUACUUCUACCACUACUACUACUACCUCUAUUACUACUUCUUCUAUACUACUACUACUACUACUACUACUACUACUACUACCAUUACUCAGUUUAUGGAUUUUAAUUUAAAUAAACGACAAAAUGGUACUCGAAGUUUGCCCCGCCCCAAUUAAUCGAAAAAAAAAAAAAAUCAGCCAACUAAUCGAUUAUGAAAAUAAUGGUUAGUUGCAUCCCUACACUUGAGUAAGAAAUCAUUUGCAAUCCUAUGUACAGAAACAUCGCUUUAUACGCACCUUCCCAUUAAAACUGUAUUUUAUUGUACACGUUGAGUUGUUUCCUGAGAAAAAUUGUGCAAAUUGUGCCGAAUACUGUCAAUGCACUCAAACAGGCCAAAAUGUUGCACAGCGCAGUGGCGAUGCAGCUGCACCGAGAUCAAUUUCAACAUUGCUUACUCAGAAAAGUGUGCAAGAGGAACAAAGGUCUUUCACAUCAGAAGCGCAAGAGGCACGAGCAUGUUAAUGUGCGGGCAUGGCUCUUAUAUCUUAUGUGGAACAUGUAAAGUGUACACGUUAAUGUGAGUGCAUGUGUGUAUAUAUAUAUAUAUAUAUAAAUACAUAUAUAUAGAGCAGUGAAGUCAAUAUUUGUCGUGUUGACCCUUUGCUUUAAAAAACAAUGAGUGCCUGAAAAUUGGCCCGGAAACCAGGAAUCUUCCGUCCAUCUGAGACUCGGACAAAGUUGACCAUCUUAUAAGUUAACUUGUCUGGUUGAGCGUUAAAAUAAAAGAGAUGUCAUUAUUUCCCAGCGUUCUCUGGUCAUGUAUGAACGCAUUGGUCCCCGGCAGGGUUCCAGCAAUGCACUUAACGUGUAAGGGUGUGGAUCUUCCCACAUUUCCGCAACGGUUACUUCGGCGACGUUCCGGAUUUUAUGCAUGAAAAGGGCUUUUUGAAACUAAAUCUAAAUUUCAGAUCUUAUCCGAUUCAACCGGGCCACCGCUCUUUCCAUUAUCUCCCGAAUGGUUCGUAGGAACAGCAUGAAUCACGUUCGUUCCGCCUUUCCGCAAAGCCAUAAUAACACCGCUUCCAAACACUUACCCCACACACUGUGUGCACUUGCGGACUGGUAGUAAUGAAAUCGUCUCUAAAGGUCCACUAGUCAUCAGGUGCUAUUUAUGGGCUGUGCUUAUGGAAAAACAUCCCUCAGUUCCGCAGUUCUACGAAAUCCAUUAGUGUAUUUGAUUACAGUGCGGUCUUGUAUAGUCGUAUGGAUGACAUGCCGGUGCCAUUACUUAAAAUGCAAAAAUGGCCACGAUACUGGGAAAUCAAACCCGAGUGAUUGAGAGCUGAUCACGUCCCAGCAUUACAUCACGUUAGAUCAUCUAGACCGCUUUACGUUCCAUCCACUGAUGGAUUGAGGUGGCUGGCCUCGAAAACGGUCAAUAAACUGAUUGAUGGAUUGUGUCGUUUAUUUCGUCUCUCGACGGGAUUUUACCGUAGACCCAUUUCGCUGGGAGAAGCCGUGGACCCGGAGAUGCUUUUUAUUUAUUUGUUAUUUAUUUAUUUAUUUUAAACGGGACGGUUUCAACACUCUAGGGUCAGUUUUCAAAGGUGUUUUGGAGAAGUGUUGUACACAGACACGGUCCUCGAGCAGAGGGAGAUUAUCACAGCAGACGCUUAGCGUCAAGCGCGUAUAGGAUAACGAAGAAGGGCGAAUGAUGGCCGACGCGGAGACCCACACAUACACAUCCGUCUGCUCGCUCUUUGAUCUGUCGUUUUGUUUUCAUGACCAUAUGAGUCAUGGUUUUAUAUAGAAUCCCAGAUCACCACGUCUGAGAGAUACAGCUUGUCCAAGUCGGAGAGCUACGGUGGCUUGUUUUCUGUAGUUGAGAAUGUUCUUUUUUUAAAGAAAAAAAUGUUCUUUUUUUUAAAAAAAAAUAAAUAAAUAAUAGAUAUAAAUAGAUAAAAUUGUGGAAUUGGUUUAUUUGGAGGAAAUGGCGUUUGUGGGUUAACACAGUUCUGUGUCAUCGCUCUCAGGCAUUGUCGUGUGUACUUUAGAGAAGUGCAUGUUUGUGUGCUCUGGCAACCUCGCCAGAUGGUGCUGGGAGUGUGAGGGCUGUGAGGGCACCCACUCCCAGAGGAGAGGUUGGUGUGUGUGUGUGUGUGUGUGUGAAAGGAGAGGAGGGGUUUUAGAAAGGCAUGUAGGCUCAUUUAGGUCAGAGUACAGCAUGUUGUCAAAUCCGGCAUAGGCAGGCUGAUCGUCAGAAGUGUGUGUGUGUGUGUGUGUAUUAUUUUGCUAUGUUUUCUAUACAAAAUGUAUAGGAAUAUCAGACAGUUUUGGUCUUGUGGAAACAUUUAUCACGAGGAAAAACUCACUUUUAUUUGAAAAACUACGGUUACUAAGGUUAAGGUAGGGGUUACAUUUAGUUGUAGCAUAGCAUAAAUAAACCCCAUUAACAAUUCAACCAAUGGAAGGUCCUCGCAAGGGUAGUCAGACGUGUACGUGUGUGUGUUUGCGUGGAUGAAUAUCUCAGAACAGAUUCUGUCAGGCUUUAACGGUUUGCUCCGGUCAACGGCGUUAAGUCACAUCAGAUAACCGGUAAAGGUUCAAGACGUCUGAUUAUUACUUUAGAUCUGCUCUCCUGCCUGCCUGCUCUUUCAUCUGGCAACCACAUCAGCUCAGUGAAGUGCUCCAGAGCUUUCUCCAGCACUCAUUCACGUGGAAGUAGUACACACACACCAUGAUAAUUACCAGUCAUGACCGCUCAGCGUCAUGUGUUUUUCUCCCCAAAGCAUGUCCCUCUGUGUUUACUCAGCCAUGUGUGUGGUUUCUGUAACUCAGCCCCGUGUGUAACGUCUCUCAUCGACACGUCGGCGAGUUUUCACUUCGGUUAAUGUUUUCCUACACUACCCACUACGCCAUCCGACCGCCUGCUGAUCGUGGCGCCACCGGGAACAUCUCCUCAUCUCUGUUUAACGAGAGCGGUUGCAGCGGCGCUUUAGUCCUUUCGUAUGUCCAGGUCUCUCUCGCCUCCGCAUCCAAACAGAACUUCGCGGCCGUCGUCCUGUAGAUCUCCGACUAGCCGGGCGGAUUCUCCGCCGUAACUCGGCGAAGCGACAUCGUAUAACCGCGCUGCAUUCUGGGACUCCGAGUCCAGCGUUUGCUUCGCCGUGUUGGAUUUCUUAUUAAUAUUGUGAGUGGGGAAAAUAUCUCUUUUGUUUUCCCAAAUAUUGAGUAUAUUUAUGCAUUGCCUUUCCAUGACCGAUAUUCUGUAAAUGGUGCAGGGGCCAAAGGUCAUUAGGUAACCUGAUGCAGGACGUGCAUGCACCUGUCCAUCGUGACUCCAUGGAUCGUAAAUAAAUUAUUUUAUCAUUCAGGUUGGCGAGUCUCGUGAACUUUGCUCUAAGGCGUUCAGUGUUUUCGGGAAUUUAUGACAGACUUCAAAUAUUUCCCUUUUUUUUUUUUUCUUUUUUUUUUUCCGGUUGUCUAUUUAAAGUAACAUCCAGUGACACGCAAUCACGACAAAACAAACAACCAAAGUGCAGAACGCAUCAGAGGAAGAACAGGGUAUCCGUUAUUCAUUUUUGCUCGUGUUGUACGCUCGCUAUCCAACCAUUUUUUUGCCUUUAUUUUCGUGGCACUCGUCGGUGGAAAUUAUUAGGAGCAAAAUGUCCGUGUGCAGUGAACACGUCGAGAGUGAAGGUGCUGCAGCUGUGUGUCUGAUCUGAUCACGCGAGCCUCGUUCGCAGGAGGAAGAUCUCCUAAUAUUUCUCGAUUUCGUGAACGUAACUGAAUUUGAAUGCGGCCAUCUAGACUGUCUGCCUCACAAAAUGCCUUGAAGCAUCAUCUGUGUGUGUGUGUGCGCGUGUGUGUGUGCGUGACAUAAACACAUACACGAUGGACUUGACUGUUAUAUGAAUAGAUACAGGUAUAACUUAUGAAUGAGAGAGACAGAGAGUGAGUGAGAGAGAGAUACUGAGAGAGAUAGUGUGAGAGCGAGAGAGUGAGAGAGAUAGUGAGUGUGUGUGUGAGAGAGAUAGUGAGUGUGAGAGAGAUAGUGAGAGAGAUAGUGAGAAGAGAUAGUGAGUGUGAGAGAGAGAUAGUGAGUGUGAGAGAGAUAGUGAGAGAGAUAGUGAGUGUGAGAGAGAGAUAGUGAGAGAGAGAUAGUGGUGUGAGAGAGAUAGUGAGUGUGAGAGAGAGAUAGUGAGUGUGAGAGAUAGUGAGAGAGAUAGUGAGUGUGAGAGAGAUAGUGAGAGAGAUAGUGAGUGUGAGAGAGAUAGUGAGAGAGAUAGUGAGUGUGAGAGAGAGAUAGUGAGAGAGAUAGUGAGUGUGAGAGAGAUAGUGAGAGAGAUAGUGAGUGUGAGAGAGAGAUUGAGUGUGAGAGAGAUAGUGAGAGAGGAUAGUGAGUGUGAGAGAGAGAUAGUGAGAGAGAGAUAGUGAGUGUGAGAGAGAGAUAGAGUAGUGAGAGAGAGAGAUAGUGAGUGUGAGAGAGAGAUAGUGAGUGUGAGAGAGAUAGUGAGAGAGAGAGAUAGUGUGAGAGAGAGAGAUAGUGAGUGUGAGAGAGAGAUAGUGAGAGAGAGAGAGAUAGUGAGUGUGAGAGAGAGAUAGUGAGUGUGAGAGAGAGAGAUAGUGAGAGAGAGAGAGAUAGUGAGAGAGAGAGAGAUAGUGAGAGUGAGAGAUAGUGAGUGUGAGAGAGAGAGAUAGUGAGAGUGAGAGAGAGAUAGUGAGUGUGAGAGAGAGAGAUAGUGAGUGUGAGAGAGAGAUAGUGAGUGUGAGAGAGAGAUAGUGAGAGAGAGAGAUAGUGAGUGUGAGAGAGAGAGAUAGUGAGUGAGAGAGAGAUAGUGAGUGUGAGAGAGAGAUAGUGAGAGAGAGAGAUAGUGAGUGUGAGAGAUAGUGAGUGAGAGAGAGAGAUAGUGAGUGUGAGAGAGAGAUAGUGAGAGAGAGAGAUAGUGAGUGUGAGAGAGAGAUAGUGAGUGAGAAGAGAGAGAUAGUGAGAGAGAGAUAGUGAGUGUGAGAGAGAUAGUGAGUGUGAGAGAGAGAGAUAGUGAGUGUGAGAGAGAGAGAUAGUGUGUGAGAGAGAGAGAUAGUGUGUGUGAGAGAGAGAUAGUGAGUGAGAGAGAGAGAUAGUGAGUGUGAGAGAGAGAUAGUGAGUGUGAGAGAGAGAGAUAGUGUGUGAGAGAGAGAGAGAUAGUGUGUGAGAGAGAGAUAGUGUGAGAGAGACAGAGAGAGAGAAUUUCUAUUACGACUGGAAGAUAUAAUGUUGAUAAUAUCGUCACGUCUGUAACACUGAUACUGAGUAACACCUUCAUUGUUCCUCACUAAUUACUAAGGAAUGAAGCACGACAGGGUGUGCUAAUAUAACAAACUAACCGACGACUAUUUUCCUACACCGGCAUGCCACAAAGUGCUGUAGAGUAUUUCAUGUCUCUUGCAUUUCCAAUGAUCUCAAUUAGAAUUUGUAACAGGACCACAACUCCAACCUUACAACUGUUUUCAGCAUCGAUCCGGGUUGCCACUGCCGUUAUAAACACCCCUCCCCUCGCCAUCCUUUCUUUUCUCGUUAUGGUACCGAGAAACUACAAAUCACGACCUUCUCUGUCUUGAGGUCUCUUCCAUGGCGGAAAACAUCGUUUUCACGUGCUGACACUGGAGACUCCUUCCUAAAAUAAACAUCUCCAUAUAGCAAAGAUGACCAUAACAAUAUCACGAAGUACACAUUUUAAUCCGUUUAUUACGAGUCUGAGACGAUGUAAAAGACCCUGUGUAAACAACAGUAAGCCGGUCGGAUUUACGAAUUCAGCACUAGAUUAGGAAUUAUAAUCUAGAUGUAUAUGCAUUGUUUGUUACAUCACUUCACAUAUUUUUUUCAAAUAUAUAUAUAUAAUGUCUAUAUUAAUGUCUAAAGGAACAAUAUAUUUAUAUAUAGUAAAAAUAAAUAUCUUUUUAACACAUAACGGUCGUAAAGGAUUGGUACACGUGGCCAUGUAGCCCACCCCAUAAUUUCAUCAGAUUGCUCCUGUACGGAUGUUUUCUUGGAAAACCGAAGCAGAUGGGCGAGUGCGCAGUUCCAGCCCACCCGGUGUGACAUUUAGCUGAAUGAGACAUGGCCGAGUGCACUUCCCACUACAGGUUCCUCCCGCCCCUGAAAUAAUGAGCACGAUCACACAAUUAAUCUUUCCUUCCAUAUGACUUGUGCAGCAUGUGCACCAAAGAAAAACACAACCGUCACGACUGAGAAGAAGCACACUCGGGCUGUCAAUCUGGAUCCCGUCCCUCCGUUGACUAAUCUUUUCUAAAACCGCGUUUCAAUGAGCGAAUCGAUCGAGGCCCGUUAGGUCGAGUGCCCUGCGAGACGCUUCAAAAGAGACAGCGUGAUGUAAAUCAGCGCCGUCUCGGUAAGGUCUCUGGAGGUAACUUGAGAAUAAGAAAAAAAAAAAAGAAAAUCAAACAAAGGGCACAGUGGGUGCUUUCUGAAACUGUUAAAACCACAGGAAAUAUUUCUUCUAUAGAAGCCCGUAACCUUUUACCCUCAUUAACAAAAAUACAGAUUCGGUGAAUUUUACAAAUAUGAAAACUGAAAAUCCAACCCUACACGGCGUAUCGGUUUCACUGCUGAACCCGUGUCGCAUUGUCAGAUUGGAACUUAGGCGGUUUUUACUCUACCCGAGUCUGGAUUCAGUACCGAUUCUGAUCUCUUCGUCUGUUUACCGACACUUAGACGCUCGAUGCGGUGAAGAAAACCUCAAUCUGGACGCCUGGAAUAUUCGCAAAUGAAGAACUGAUCUCUAGACGCGCGUGUUCUCACUGUGCUCUCAGUGCGUACACCGCAAAGAUGAACUAAUUACAGCGCUUUCGGCUCUAUGCGAGUCUGGUUUUAUGUAUCGGUAACCAUCGCGACCCUUUCCCGCACGUCACGGAAAGGAGAAAUAGGAAGACGCGUGACGUGUUGAACUGACCACGUUACCAGCGGAGCGAAGAUAUCUUCCGCACUUGACGUGGACCGUAUGGUAUCGUGGUUUGGUUGACGUGAUCCCCAGACCACCCUUUUCAAGAGGACUGCUUCACGUCUUCACAUGUUACCGAUCAUAGAUAAACCGGCUCUUAUAUCUUAAGAUGCAAUUGCCUAAACUACGGUAGCCCUCAUCACGUUCUGUCUGUAUGGAAAUCAACAAAGGAACGAAGGAACCUUGGAAUAACUACCCUCAUUUAGCAAAGGAUUGUGGUGAAAAAUAUAGGCGUGUUGACAAAACACACCUUAUAUGUGUGUUGUCGGAGAGCUGGACUCACUAGAACACACACUUACUUUCAUAGGAACACUUGCACAUCGGGCUCCCCUGCUCCUGCGUGCCAGAAACCCAAACCGGACGGUCGAAUAUUGAGAAAAGGCGACCGAGCGGUGUUUUUUACGAUCUUCAACUAUCCAGUUUUGGCGUCUUCACUAGCCUCGGGCUCCGGUUCUUGGCUGACGAGACUGGAACCCGAUGGAGCUUUCCACAUGUCGUAGCCCAUCCAUCCCUCUUCUGCUCACCACGCUUGUAAACAGUGGUUAUUUGAGUUACAGUAGCCUUCCUGCUACGCAUUCGGCACUUUCUGAAAUACUCGAUCCAUCCUGUCUGGCAUCAACAGGUCACUGAAACCCCCCCCCCCCCCCCAUUCAGAUGUCUGACGUGAACAUUAACUGAACCUCUCGACCUGUAUCCGUGUAAUGUCAUGCUUUGCACCGCUGCCAUAUGAUUGGCUGACCGGAUAGCUCCUAAUAAACUGAAGUGUGCCUCCUAUUCAUCUCUCUAUUUGUAUCUGUUUAGAACAUAUCAUCAUUUCCCUCAAAAGAAUGUAUUCGCAUUCUAUAAGAAAUAAAUAAACAAACAAACAAAUAAAUAAAUAUUGUCCUGUAUACAUCACAACAGAGAGAUUUAAGACUGCAGCGGUAUUAUAUCACAUUUAAUUAUAUUAUAUCCAUUGCAUAUUAAUGAUCUUUUAUGAAAUGAAAACGACUGCAUUCUGUUCGCCUUCGGAUGCAGAUAAAUAAAUAAAUAAAUAAAUAAAUAAGUAGUAAUGACUCAUCCGAGCCCUACUCAUGAACCAUCUGCUUCUAUAGGCAGUUAGCAGAUUGUGGCUAAUAAUCACAGCAAUUUACCAUAAACUUGGUACAAGGGCAACCACACAGCUGUAGGAGAAAACAUGGUGUGAAAUCCAAGUGAUUAGUGGCGGUGUGUUUAAUUAAAAUGACUCUUUCUUUUUUUUUUUUUUUUGUUUGUUUUUGUUUUUUUUCAUCCAUCUGAGAAAACGAAAGUGUUUUUAGCCCACGCGGGAGGCGGGCGCGCUGAAAAUAAAUGGUGUGAAUCCACUUGCAACCGCGCACUAUUAUUCCUGUGUGGUGGUGUUUACAUAUCAACAGUAAACUGGUGGCUUUACCUGGAAACACCAGAACUACACACUUGCACUCUACACACAAUACACACACCACCUGAGGUCGUGACCUUUUGCUACAUUUUUGCGGGUUGGAAGGGCACGAAGAAGGAAUCGCAAACACACACACAGAGAGAGAGAGAGAGAGAGAGAGAGAGAGACACACACACGGCACCACUCAUGCAUAGUAUAACGAGACUAACGAGGCUGUUUGCUCGCUAACACACACCGGUGUGUUAAUGAGGGCCUCGGAGGCCGUGGCACAGAGGGAAAGCAGGCCUGAUGGAGUAAAAGCCUGAUUAACACUAAUGAAGGAUACAGUCCUAAUGUCUGUCCUAAACUCUGCAGAUACACGCAGCGAAGCACGCGAAGCUCACUUACAGUUACACACACUUUACCAACGGCAGCGACCCAUGAAGGAAAAACACAUCUCUUAAUUGCGUCGGUGUUGUUCCUCACAGUAACCUGUACCUGAUGUAAAGAUAUAUUCUCUCGUUUUUAGUGUAAAAGUUCAAUGAAAGCAGAUACGCAACUAUAUAAUAAUGUACUUAUAAGCGUAAACAAAUGCCGCGUCCCAAUUCACCUACUGUGCGUCCUAAAUAGUAUCCGAGGUCACGAUGGGUGUGUCCCAAAUCGUAGCAUGUUGAAACGAGUAUCCAAAAGGUACCCGGAUGGUCUAGUACGUCCUGUAGAUUUUUGAAGUGUGGAUCCGGGGAGACUUUUUCAGCUGAUUUUCCAACUCCGACUCCUUGAACGAGGGAGGAGGAGUUUUGCGACCGGUUGGCUUUGGCGAAUUCGACCUUGAGACAUGGCGGAUCUGCGUCUGGUAGAUCUGCGACGGUGCGCCGCGUCUCUCGGCAUUAAGGUAGGAUGCGUUUUAGGGAAGAUAGCAGAAAUUAUAUAAGGAAUCGUGAAUGAGGAAAAGCUGAAAUGUUUGUUCACAGCAAGUGUGCGUAACUAGGCAACAACUAGUUGAAAAAAAAAAAGCUGAAAUGUUUGUUCUCUUCCGUUACAUGACGUGUUAGGUUGUCCCUGAUCCUUGCAUACUCUUUUGCUACACACUCAAAUGUGUGUGCUUUUUCUACACACUUUUAGUGCAUGCAUACUGUAGUAUACACACUUUUAGUGCAUGGUACGCGUAGUAUACACACUUUUAGUGCAUGGUACGCGUAGUAUACACACUUUUAGUGCAUGCUAUACGUAGUAUACACACUUUUAGUGCAUGCUAUACGUAGUAUACACACUUUUUAUGCACGGUACGCGUAGUAUACACACUUUUAGUGCAUGCUAUACGUAGUAUACACACUUUUAGUGCAUGGUACGCGUAGUAUACACACUUUUAGUGCAUGCUAUACGUAGGCGAAUUGGGACGCAGCCUCAGAUAUGCAUCUUGUACAAAUUACACGUGGUGUCAAAAGAUCGUUGCCAUUGGUUGGGAAGAUUUCCCAAAACAAGCAGUGACCACGGUGACACCGAAGGACCUUCCUAAAGUUCUCGAGGACAACACUCGAACGGGAAAGCUACAGAGCCACCGACCUUAAAACAUUUCCCGACGAGAUGAUGAAAAGGAAGCUAAGAGAGAAGCCAGUAGUCACUGGAAAGGAGUUGCAGGACAGCCUGAAAGCGGUAACAGUUAGACAGUAAACAAUAAGCGAUGAACUACACCGCCAUCGUCUCCGUUCUAAUGUCUCAAUGCAUUUCGACCGAUCGGGACUCUUUUUGGAACAGAAGACGAAACGGAGAUAGAACUCCUUGGCGGUAAUCCAGCGUUUGCAGAAAGAUGAAUCACGUGUAUGAUCUCAAUCAUCUCUAAAUGAUCGCGUAGUAAAGUCUAAGCAUAAGCAGAGAUCCGAAUAGAAACCGAAUGUAAAUAAGUAACAAGUAAAAGCCGUGGAUUUUACCCUGAAAGUUUAUUCUGAGAGGCAGUUAGGCUAAUUCCUGCGCAGAUAGUUGAUUAUUAAUAAUAAAGCCCGGUGGGGGGUUCACCAGUUCACCAGUCAUAUUCAUCAAACACAGAUCGUUUUGUUCAUACUGUUGGUUAAAAACUGUAAUGAUCAUUAAGAUGUUAAACGAGUAGCUACGACUAAAGACGUUCCUCCCUUUAUAACGUGCCGAGUCUUAAGUAUUUUCGUCGUGACUCGUUCUUGCCUCUACACAGCCUCUGGACCAGCUCUGCCAUCCACGGUCAGUCCGGUUAACAGUUAAAAAGCGCCGCGGACACGAAGCCGACGGUGUGCCGGUUCUGCUCUCGCCACGACGCGUUUAAUUCAUCACACGGUCCGUGUGACAAUAAUGCCGCUCGGCCAUCUUCACUUACCACACCGCUACAAAUCAUCCCAAGGUAAAAGUACAGCAGACAGCAAAACUCCAACACAUGAAAAGUCAAAUAUUAACAAGAAAAGUCCUUUCUAAAUAGAAUUCCUUCGAUCGGUGACUCUCGUUUGCUCAGUUCAUUAAAAAGGUAUAUGAUUCCUCCAGUCUGAUCAGAUUCAGCCUUGGGGGAAAAUAAAUAAAUAAAUAAAUAAAUAAAUAAAUAAAUAAUAAAUCGCUUUUAAUAACGACCUGGCAUCGGUUAUUCGAAAAUACAGACGUCUGUAUGCACAAAAUGACAGGUAAGUCAACAUCUACACCUACCGGCCGCUUUAAUAGGAACACCCGUACUCCGGCUCGCUCAUAGAUCAGAUUAGAUGAAAUUAGAAAAAAUAAGAUUAGGUAAGAUGAGGUUAAAAACUUGAUUGAUCCCACACUAGGGAAAUUCCCCCGUUACAGCAGCUUACCUCGUCACCUCGUCACCUCGUCACGGCAGCUUAAUCACACACACAAAAAACCCAGAUAGCAAAGGAUACACAUUACAUCGGAAUAGAAUUGAAAAAAAUAAUAAUAAUGUAAAAAAAUCGAUACGAUAGGAAUAGAAAAAUAAGAAUAUCUAAAAUCAGCUCAUCGUGAGGAAGCGACACGAUAAAUAAAGCCGAGAGCUUCGGUUGACGUUGGCAUCGAACAUCGGGAUGAGGAAAAUGUGAUCUCAUCGACGUUGGCAGGGUUUUUAGUGCCAGUUUGAGUAUUUCAGAAACUGCCGAUCCCCCUGGGAUUUUCACACGCAUGACGGUGUCUAGAGUUUACAAACAAAAAACAUCCAGUAGGCGUCGGUUGUGAGCUGAAACGCCCCGGUGGGAGGGGUCAGAGGUGAACGGGCAGAAUAGUUUGAGCUGACGAGAACGUUUAUGGGAACUCGAAUAAGCUCUCUGUACAACUGUGGUGAGCGGAAGAGCAUCUCAGAGCGCACCUUGAGGUGGACGGGCUCCAACAGCAGAAGACCACAAGUUUCAUUUCUGUCAGCCAAGAACAGGAAUCUGAGGCUACGGUGUGCGCACGUUCACCAAAACAGGACGGGUAACGACGGGGAAAAGACCAGGGGAUGUUUUUCCACUCUUCAACUUCACAAAAUCGAGCCAGCAAGUUUUUUUUUAAAUCUCUUUCACCACUCCGCUCCUCUCGGCAUGCAGUUAUAACACGGCCUCAUACCACCGUGCAGCUUUCCACAGCUAUGAACUUUGGCCUUUGGUGGUUUGCGAUGUGCCAGGGAAUGUAGCCGCUGAUUCUGCAUUACCAUUCCUCAUUCAGAACACCAUCAGCUCACGUAUCAUACACGUAUCGCGUGCACAGAAAGAGCGCCGCACGCGUCCAUACACCUCACAUCAAAAUACAUGUACUCUCAAAAGCUAGGCUUCUCCAUGGUAACAGAGCCAUCUCUCCAGGUAACUGCACCUUGUGAAAACCUGUGAAUCGACGGAUAUGUCUCGAACAUAAGGACAAAAUCUGACGGCUUUUCAGUUGAAAGCAAAGAGUUCGGCGGUGCAGGAGCAAGCAGGUAAAACGUCAGUACUGGCAUUCAUUAUUUGGAUUUUUCCCAUUAGCAGUUGUAAAUAUUAGAGCUAUUUAAGUGUUCAUACAGACGUACAGUCCGGAGCUCAGGUUACCGUGUGUCUGGAGUUGGAUUCCGAGUGGGUCCCCUUUCAUUUCUGCUAACUUUAGCGUGUAGAUUUUAUUUAAAAGGGAUUCAAAUGAGCCCAUUAAUCUACACACGAUGAUAAGUAUUAAGACCCUGGGCUGAGGCGAAGCAAAGUGAGCUCAGGUGCAUCCUGUUUGUUCUGAUUAUCUCGAGAUAUAUCUAGACCCUGUCCGGAGUCCACCUGGGGCGGACUUAUUUGAUCGGGUACGAUUUAAAAAGGCAUACAUCUGUGUGUAUGAGGUCCCGCGAUUCACAGUGCACGUCAGACCGAAAAGCCAAGCCGUGAAGUCCAAGGAACUCCGUAAGCAUCCUCGAACACGAUGCGUUGAGAACACGGAGUAGAUCUGGGGAUAAAACCAUUUCUAGAAUCCUGAAUGCCCCCAGGAGCAGACGGCUCCAUCACGGUGAAAUGGAAAAAGAUCGUUAUGGCCGAGUGGCUGGACAGAAGCUACUCACUCCUGAGAACAAGGAUUGUGAUUGGCACUUAAAGGACUCGACUUUAACUUCAAAUUCUCUGGUCGUCUGAGACAAAGAUGUAACGUUCUGGCCUGAACUCCAAGCACUACAUCUGGCAAACACAACUGGCUAAUGGAACCCGUAUAGUGAAACAUGGUGGUGGCAGCAUCGUGCAAUAGGGGUGCUUCUCCAGUUGCAGGGACAAGGAGACUGGUCAGAAUUGAGGCACGGAUGAAUGCAGUGAAGUCCUGAAGGGGUCUGAGUACUUUCUGAACCCAUUAGAUUCCCAUCUCACGCCCCAGGGUUCCCAGGAUAGGCUCCGGAUCCACCGCCUCUGACCAAGAUAAAGCGGUUAUUAAAGAUGAAUGAAUGAAUAUUUUCAUAUUUACGUCUUCAAAAAAUACACACUUGAAUGUGCACCCUAUGACGCCCGAUGUAGGAAAAUCUACUUGCCCAAAACAGUUCAUAACAAAGACUCACCUUCCUGCUGAUCUAUGACUUUUGCCUUCAAAGAUGCCAUGCUGGCUCGUGAUGAUGCCAGCCCAGAUUCUUUAGACGGCCUUGUAAUUGGAAUUUCUUUUCACGGAUUGGGCGUGAUGGUGCGAGAGCCUGAGACAGAACCCUAACGAGUCCAACUCAAGCCGGUGCUGUAUUAACACUUCGUUUACAUAUGCGGCGGCAACAGAUCGAUCCAUUCCCAGAAUGAUGGGAGUUCCUCCUUGCUCACUGCUCUGCUUCACCGCUGAACGACGAUCUCUUGGGACCGAGAUGAAAACACGGGCUGCCUAAAAACCGAAAAGGUCCUUGGCCUGUGAGCGUGCACACACACACACACAAGUAGACUAUUUCCUCCAUCACCUGCCCUGCAUUCAUUGACCUAAUGCACUGAAAAGCCUCUGUUGAUUACGGACAUGCGCGGUGGGCUCACCGAGACAAAGACGCAACGUAAAUAAGCUUCUUUUAAUCCUUUGCGCGUAGAUAGAACAGCAAUCGUAGCUACUCGUAGUGAAAUAUUUAUGCACACUAAGAGCGGACAGAGUGAAAUUUAAAACGCUAGGACUAUAUACUUGCAGAGAGAGAGAGAGAGAGAGAGAGAGAGAGAGAGAGAGAGAGAGAGAUGCUUUCAUGGUAAGCGAGAGGCUUUUCGAAGCUAAAGGACUAAAAGCUUCCCUCCCAUGUGACCUCAGUGCAUGCAUCAAGCUAUAGUUAAAAGAAAAACAAAACAAAACAAAGCAAAAACCCACCAGCUAUUUUGCAGUCCAUUACGUUAAUAGACAGAAAAAAUAUUCCAAUAUUUUCAAAGCGAUGAAAAAGGAAUGGGAAGGGCAUUGUAAUUGUAUAAAACAGGCCUGAUGCAUUGAGUUGUUCUGACCGUCUGCUACACGAGUUAAAGGAACACUGCAGCAUUAAACCCCCCCCCCCCCCCCAAAAUAACCCAUUUACUCCCGAAUUAUUACCAACAUUCGUAAAAACAAGCAUAAACAACUCUAUCAAAUAAACAUUACACGAACAUUUCCACUCAAACGAUAGGAGAAACUCAGUGGCAAAGCA
ensembl:lncRNA